AAGUGAACGGAGGAAUUGUUUUUUCUUCCAUAUCAUCAAGCUGAUGUUUUAUCAAAGUCUCACAUCUACAAAGGUGAUACUGUGUCUUUUUACAUCCGGGAAAACAAAAGAAAUGGACAAUGCUGUGCCGUGGAGUUGUUGCUGCUCGAAGCUUCGCCUCCUGUUUACGUUCAAGGAAUUGUCUGCUCGCUCAAGGAAUCGUUUGGCUUUAUCGACAGAGCUGACAAAGUGAACGAGAUAUUUUUCCACUACUGUGAAUUUCUUGGAGAUAUUGGUGAUUUGUUGAUAGGAGAUGAUGUCCAGUUUAUUGUACAAAAUAGAUAUGGUAAGGAAGUUGCAGUCUCAGUGUAGCGUCUACCAGAAGGUACAGUGAAGUUUGAUGAUGUUAGCAAAGACACAUUUCAAGGCACCAUCGAGAAAGUACAUUGUCGGACAAAAAGACAGGAACCGUUAAAUGGUGUGAUAUUGUACAACACAAGCCAUGGUAGUUCACAGCUGCCAUAUUGGGAGAAAGAUGUCUUGGGGGAGUUCACCGUCUUGACUGGGGAUGUUGUUGGUUUUAAAA